GCAUCAACCUGUGCACCAAAGGGUCUAGGGUUUGAUACCAGUCAAUGGCGUGUACCUCAGUUGCAGGGUGCAUGCAAGAGGCAGCCAAUUGAUGUAACCCUCUCAUGUCAGUGUUUUAUCUCUUUCCCCCUCCUCCCUCCCUUCCAUCUCUCUCAAUAAAUGGAAAAUAUAUCUUCAGGUGAGGAUUAACAGCAAUAACAAAAACUGCUACAGAAAGGCAUGCCACAUAACAGAACCAGUUACCUUGAGAUGCAGUGUGAUCAGUUCAGUUUGAUUAUGCGCUAAUCAUUCACCAAACACUGUUAAUCAGCAGUGACUCUUGGAUGUAGAUAUGUAGCAGACUAUAGUUGUAGGUAUAUAAUAUUUAUGUUGGCAAAUUACUACAGUGUGGUGGUGGUGUUGUUUUCUAAAUAUGGCCUAUUCGUUAAAAUUUGUUAAAAAUAAUACGAAAAAUAACCUGUCAAUUUAAUUAUAAGCAAAUCUUCGUUAAAAACAUUUUAAAAUUAACAGGAUGUUAAUUUUAACAUUUGACAUACGGACCAGAAAUUCUGUCCAUUAAAUCCCAGUCUGUUAAAUCGAGGUCUCCAAAAUGGAGGGUUUGCUGUGUUUUGAAAUGUAUAAAAGGAAGCUGAAGUUGGGUGCGUGGUCAACAAAUAGAAACAUGGCCCAUA